CCGUCAAUUCCUUUGAGUUUUAGUCUUGCGACCGUACUCCCCAGGCGGUCUACUUAUCGCGUUAGCUGCGCCACUAAAGCCUCAAAGGCCCCAACGGCUAGUAGACAUCGUUUACGGCAUGGACUACCAGGGUAUCUAAUCCUGUUUGCUCCCCAUGCUUUCGCACCUCAGUGUCAGUAUUAGGCCAGAUGGCUGCCUUCGCCAUCGGUAUUCCUCCAGAUCUCUACGCAUUUCACCGCUACACCUGGAAUUCUACCAUCCUCUCCCAUACUCUAGCCAACCAGUAUCGAAUGCAAUUCCCAAGUUAAGCUCGGGGAUUUCACAUUUGACUUAAUUGGCCACCUACGCGCGCUUUACGCCCAGUAAAUCCGAUUAACGCUUGCACCCUCUGUAUUACCGC
rnacentral:misc_RNA from 1 species